CGUUCAUACAGCACAUGCUGUGGGUAGAUGUCUUGGCGCUUUGCUUCCUGAGGAAGGGAAAACUAUGGAGCUUUCAUCUGCUACAACUACAGGAGGUGCUGUCAUGAAACUGCAAGGAGACGGUCACUUCUUGGAUUGCGCUUCCCGCCUCUGGCUUGAGAAGCACCUACUCAGGAGUCGUGGAUCCCUGGCUGUACCCCUGCUCCUGCCAGAUACUGCCUGCCUCCCUGCUACAAACAGCCCGGGAAUCUGUGGUUAGAACCACUCUUUGUUGGGCGCAGUGGCUCAUGCCUAUAAUCCCAGAACUUGGGAUGCCAAGGCAGGUGGAACAACUUGAGGUCAAGAGUUCAAGACCAGCCUGGCCAGCAUGGUGAAAUUCCAUUUCUACUAAAAAUACAAAAUUAGCUGGGCGUGGGGCAUGCACCUGUAAUCCCAGCUACUCAGGAGGCUGAGGCAGAAGCAUCUCUUGAACUGGGAGGAAGAGGUUGCAGUGAGUUGAGGUCACAUCACUGCACCCCAGCCUGGGUGACAGAGCAAGGCCAUUAUCUCAUUGCAUCCCAACGAGAGGAGAAGAAGGGCAGGAUGCAUCUACUGUCUCUAUCUGAGGUAAAUACAGACUCAGAGACUCACAUGGGCCUUGAGUGGCAGCACAGAGUUGGAACAAGACCCGGCUCUUUUUAGAGCUCUUUCCUCAUGAUGACCUUGUUUCCUGACUCAUUUAUAUGUGAUAUAUGUGAGCAUCUGCCCAUUACAUGUGUCUGCAUGUAUGUGUGUGUUACUCAAAAUAACACAUUGUGCCAUUUGAACUGCAGCAUCUUAUGGCUAUAAGGCACCCUAGAUAUCACCCGCCCCCCAAAAAAGAACCACUCUCUCAAGUCUCUCAGCUUCCUGCAUGCCCCAGGGCUAGUCUCAUCUGCUUCUCAUCCUUGCUGACCUCACAUUCCAACUAGCCGCCUCAUCUGAUUAUGAAGCUCAUCUUAUGGUCAGACAGUCACCUGUGCUCUCCCCACCCUACACCUCUUCCUCUCCACCUCUGACCUUAGCUGCCUUCCACAGGGCUUUGCAUUUGUUUCUCAAUGUCCGCUCAAGGGCAACCUACUAAUCUGAGCCCCAGGGAGGCCCUGGGAGCAGAGGGGAAGCUGGAGAAUGUUUGUCCGGCUGCCAUUGACAUGGCUUUUCUUGCCAUUCUCAAACUCCCUGAAAGUCAAUUACAAAUCCCUUUUGUAAAGCCAGUAGAAAAGACGCUAUUUUUUCUAUACUUGGAUGGACACUCAAGAGGUGACUUGAUAGUACUUAAUUGUGUGGUUUCAACAAGUCAUUGAAUUCUCCCAAGUCUGUGUCCUUCUCCAUUAGAAAAGGGUGACAGGAGUUCCAAAUUUACGAGGUAAAUGUGAGCCAUGUGAUCUGAUGUAGAGAGGGCAUUUCAACAAAUAGCUGCCUCCGCAGAUGCUUUCAAUCAAUGUUAGCUACCAUUGUUCUCUUUUAAGUAUAUCAGGCAUAUUCUCGUGCAAUAAUGUAUAGUAGAAAGUCUUAUUCUAAGGAAUUCCACUAAAAUAUUAUUCUUAGCAGUGAUGUAGAAAUACUCAGAAGUUUUUAUUUAGCAAGGUAAUCAUUGCAAACACAGACCUUCAACAGCAACAAAAAAGACAAUAUUGAAAAUUUUGUUUCAGGAAGAAUGUGGGUCAGGAUGCAAGAAUGAUUAUGUUUAAGGAAUAGCAAGUGGCUCCAACAGGCAUCCAAGUUUCUACAGGUUAGAAAGCACCAAUUAUUCUUUUUCCUAUAAUCAAAAGUUUCUCAUCCACAGUGGAUUCUGGGCCUAUGGCUGAUGGUGGGAUAUGGAUUUCUUAUUAGGUGCCACAUUCUUAUCAACAUGUUUAAAUAAAAUAUCAAUGUUAGUAGCAUUGCUGCAUAUGAUUUUUGCCUGGCAAACAACAAUGAAUAGAAAUUUAUUUUAAAGUGGAAACAGCUCUGAGGGGGGAUAAAAAUAGUCCAGCUAUGUUUAUGAAGUAGACUCCACAGAGAACAGGGUGACCCUGCAUAACCAAGCUUAGCUAAACCUGUAGAUCCACUGACAACUGUCCAUAUGUUUUAUUCUUGCCCAAGCCAGCAUCUAGGAUUCUGGAAGAUGACAGUCCUAUCAAAUAGAAAGUUUUCAAGAUAGUAUUUCAAUAAAAGCACAUUUUCCUAUACAGGUAACUUUCCGCUCCUGAUAAUGCUCUUCCUGUGUAGGGCCCUAGGGAGUCCUCCACAUUUCCUUAAUCCACGUAAGAUAUUCAAUACUCUACCCAAGAAUAGAGGGGCCAUUAUCUCAUUGCAUCCCAAAGAGAGGAGGAGGAGGGCAGGAUGCAUCUAUUGUCUCUAUCUGAGGUAAAUACAGACUCAGAGAGUCACAUGGGCUUUGAGUGGCACCACAGAGUUGGAACAAGACCCAGAUCUUUUUAGAGCUCUUUCCUCAUGAUGACCUUGUUUUCUGACUCACUUACAUGUGAUAUAUGUGAGCAUCUGCCCAUUAUAUGUCUCUGCAUAUAUGUGUGUAUUACUCUAACACAUGGUGCCAUUUGAACUGUAGCAUCUUAUGGCUAUAAGGCACCCUAGAUAUCAACAUAUCGUCCUUUCAAAGGUAAUGUAACUUUCACUCAAAGAAAUAGAUUUCUUUUUUCAAAAUCAGAUUUCUAAUUAUUACUAAAGGUGGGAUCAAAAUCCAUCUUUUAGCAAUCAAUUCUGUAUAUUAUGCUGUAAGUGGCCCAAAAACAUACAAUUUAACCCUUCAUUACCUACUUUAUUAUUAACUGUUGUAUUAUCUUGACUCUUGAUUUAUUAAUACAGUUGUAAUUGCCUUUGCAUUCCAAAAUAUUCAAUGUUAACAGCAUUAUUUAUGCUCAAUAGAUAUUUGUUGUUACAUUAAAUCGAUACAAAUUGAGAGUCAAGAAAACAAAUCACUGCAUACACACACAUUCUUAUGAAGCAUCAAAUAUGGUAAUUAGAUAUAGGUCUGUUUGGAAACCAAAUCUAUUCUCCAAAGAAAAACAGUUACAAAAGGAAGCUUCUCAGGUCAGCUCAUAUGAUCUCAGCUUAGUUCAGUUGCACCCUGUGUGGGUUUACAAUGCACGGUAAAAGAAUGCUGAACUGAAUCUCAAGCAAAUUUUGAGUUAUACUGUUGACGCUAAUUAGCUGUAACACCUUGGGUAAUUUAUUAAUUUCAUGGGAUCCAGUUUUUUAAAUCUCAAAAGCAUAAGGGUUAAACUAGAAAUCCUCAUCCAUUUUACCUUAAAGGAUUCAAAUGGACUUCAGUAACAUUCAUGGAUAAGCAAGUGUGCCAUGCAGAUAGGGAAAGGUUACCAUUUGUAUUCUAAAAACUAACUGUAAAUUAUAGCAUACUUCUCUACACAAAAACUUGGAUACAGCUGUUCACAAAAGCAUUAUUCAUAAUAGCCCAAAAGUAGAAACAGGUGAAAUAUUCAUCAACUGCUAAACGGAUGAACAAAAUGUGGCAUUUCCAUAUAAUGGAAUGUUAUUUAGCCAUAAAAUUAAAUGAAGUAUUGACACGUGCUACACAACAUGGAUGGACCUUGAAAACAUUGUCCCAAGUAAAAAUGUCAGUUGCAAAAAACACAUAUAUUGUAUGAUUCCAUUUAUAUGAAAUGUCCAAAAUAGGCAAAUCUAUACAGACAGAAAGCAGAUUAGUGUCUGUGUAGAGCUGAGAUGGGGCAGUGGGGAGUGACUGCUAGCGUGCUAACAACACCUCUGUGGAAAACAAGUCAAGGGCCAAUGAGUGUGAUGCCAGAGCAUUUGGAAUCCCAUAAACUGAGGGCUCCAAGUCAGUGGAGUCCUAUUUAUCAAUGACAUUUAAUCAAGAAUAACAGAAAAGACUUGUCUCCCCCUUUUGUCCUGCCUUCUUGCUUUUCACCAGCAUGCUCUUUCCCAGGGACAGCAAGGAGGGAGGAGAAAGCCCUUGGCACCCGUACAUUUUCCUCUGAGCCUAAUUUCCAUAAAUCAGAAAAUGCUUGCAAUAUGAUUUAACAAUUACUAAUGAAAAUAUCGAGAAUUUCAUAUCAGCUACUUAUUUUGAGUAGUUGAGAAAUAAUGAAGCAAACAAAAAAAUUCAAAAGAGCUAAUUAGAUGAAUUUAACGUGUAUAUUGCAAGGAGAAUCAUAUUUUGCACAUUAACUAACAGAUCAAAAAGCAUGUAAUUUUAUGCUUAAAAGCACACUUUCAAACACAAGAUACUUUAGGCUUUGUUUGAAGCUACAUUUACACUGUUAUGAAGGCCAUAAUCUUUGCUUUGGGGACCCAAAUGGAGAAAUUUCUCUGAUAAUAAGAAUUAUCUUUCUACUCUAUGACCAGUAAUGAUUUAUCUGUAAUUAUGUGCUAUACUGUUUUUGCCUAAGAGUGAUCCUAACUACAUUUCAUAGUAGUAAAUUCUUGGAUUAGAAGGAAAAUGUUGGCUGGGCGUAGUGGCUCACGCCUG
rnacentral:lncRNA from 10 species